UACGGAGGAUGCAAGCGUUGUCCGGAAUUAUUGGGCGUAAAGCGUAUGUAGGCGGAUGUUCUAGUCUGCUGUCAAAGACCGGGGCUUAACCCUGGAACGGCAGUGGAAACUGAAAAUCUAGAGUGCGGUAGAGGCAGAGGGAAUUCCCAGUGUAGCGGUGAAAUGCGUAGAGAUUGGGAAGAACACCGGUGGCGAAAGCGCUCUGCUAGGCCAAAACUGACACUAAGGGACGAAAGCGAGGGGAGCGAAUGGG
rnacentral:rRNA from 1 species